rnacentral:rRNA from 1 species
GACGAACGCUGGCGGCGUGCCUAAUACAUGCAAGUCGAACGCAGUGGGGACGGGUGAGUAACACGUGGGUAACCUCCCAUCAGAGGGGAUAACACUUGGAAACAGGUGCUAAACCGAUACUGAUGGAUGGACCCGCGGUGCAUUAGCUAGUUGGUGAGGUAACGGCUCACCAAGGCCACGAUGCAUAGCCGACCUGAGAGGGUGUUCUCCCACACUUGGACUGUGCCACGGCCCAGACUCCUACGGUAGGCAGCAUUAGGGAAUCUUCGGCAAUGGACGAAAUUCUGCCCGAGCAACGCCGCGUGAGUGAAGAAGGUUUUCGUAUCGUAAAACUCUGUUGUUUGAUAAGCGGUAUCUAACCAGAAUGCCACGGCUAACUACGUGCCAGCAGCCGCGGUAAUAC